rnacentral:rRNA from 1 species
CCUACGGGGGACAGCAGUGAGGAAUAUUGGUCAAUGGACGCAAGUCUGAACCAGCCAAGCAGCGUGCAGGAUGACGGCCCUCCGGGUUGUAAACUGCUUUUAGUGGGGAAUAAAAGGGGGCUCGUGAGGCCCGUAUUGUAUGUACCCUCAGAAAAAGGACCGGCUAAUUACGUGCCAGCAGCCGCGGUAAUACGGGAGGUCCGGGCGUUAUCCGGAGUUAUGGGGUUGAAGGGAGGCGUAGGCGGUCGGGUAAGUUAGAUGUGACAUCCCGAGUCUCAACCUCGGAAUUGCCUUUGAUACUGUGCGGCUAGAGAGUAGUUGCGGUAGGCGGAAUGUAUGGUGUAGCGGUGAAAUGCGUAGAGAUCAGACAGAACACCGAUUGCGAAGGCAGCUUACCAAGCUACUUCUGACGUUGAGGCACGAAAGCGUGGGGAGCAAACAGGAUUAGAUACCCCUGUAGUC